rnacentral:lncRNA from 1 species
UCUUGGGUCGGGUUAGGUUGGGCAAAAUAGAGAUCCAAAGAUGGGUCGGGUUGGGUCGGGUAUACCCGAAAUCCAUCUUCUAUCUCUUCUGAUCAAAAAUUCUGAGCCACUCAGAACUCCGAUCAAAAAUCCUGAGCUCCUCCGAUCUCUGUAAAAAAAAAAUAAAGAUAAAUAAAAAAAAGAUCAAACUGUGUGAGAAAAAAUCUUAUCUUAAUCGUCUAAUCGGGUGGGAGGCCAGAGGUAGG